GAUGAACGCUGGCGGCGUGCCUAAUACAUGCAAGUCGAGCGAACAGACGAGGAGCUUGCUCCUCUGACGUUAGCGGCGGACGGGUGAGUAACACGUGGAUAACCUACCUAUAAGACUGGGAUAACUUCGGGAAACCGGAGCUAAUACCGGAUAAUAUAUUGAACCGCAUGGUUCAAUAGUGAAAGACGGUUUUGCUGUCACUUAUAGAUGGAUCCGCGCCGCAUUAGCUAGUUGGUAAGGUAACGGCUUACCAAGGCAACGAUGCGUAGCCGACCUGAGAGGGUGAUCGGCCACACUGGAACUGAGACACGGUCCAGACUCCUACGGGACGCAGCAGUAGGGAAUCUUCCGCAAUGGGCGAAAGCUUGACGGAGCAACGCCGCGUGAGUGAUGAAGGUCUUCGGAUCGUAAAACUCUGUUAUUAGGGAAGAACAAAUGUGUAAGUAACUAUGCCCGUCUUGACGGUACCUAAUCAGAAAGCCACGGCUAACUACGUG
rnacentral:rRNA from 1 species